AAGCAAGUUACACAAGGGCUAUUGGUGGAUGCCUUGGGAGAAGUAGACGAUGAAGGACGUAGCAGGCUGCGAUAAGCCUCGGGUAGGUGCCAAGCAACCGUUAAUCCGGGGAUGUCCGAAUGGGGUAACCCUCUCAUCCCAAUUCUGCGCAAAAUCAUUUUGCGCCUAAGCUCUUGCAAGUAGUUAUGACAACUAGAGAGCAAGGGUUGUACCCUUUGCGAAUAGUCAUAAACUAGAGAGCAAGGGUUGUGCGUAGAACUGGGAUGAGAACUUUCUUACUGAAUAUAUAGGUUUGAAAGAGGUAACCGCGUGAACUGAAACAUCUUAGUAACGCGAGGAAAAGAGAAAAACAUUUUAUUCCCUUAGUAGUGGCGAGCGAAAAGGGAUGAGUCUAAACUUUCGUUGUGUUAAAGCCUACUGGCGUUGCAACGAGAGGGUUAUAAGAAAUUGCAUCUUGAACAGUAGAUCAAGUCAGAAGUCAAAAAUUAUUUUCUUAGCCGAAAGUCUCUGGAAAGAGCUACCAUAGUGAGUGAUAGUCUCGUAGGCGAAAAGAAAAUAACUUCGAGCAGUUCUCUUGAGUACGGCGGGACCCGUGAAAUCCUGUCGGAAAGUGCCAGGACCAUCUGGUAAGACUAAAUACUACUUCUCACCGAUAGUGAACUAGUACCGUGAGGGAAAGGUGAAAAGUCCCCCGAGAGGGGAGUGAAAUAGUACCUGAAACCGAUAGCCCGUAUAAAAGUCGGAGCCCAUCCGCAGUUUUGAGGAUAGCCAUACUAUAUUAGUAUGGCGAUCUGAUCGUCGAAACUGCGGAUGGGUGACGGCGUGCCUUUUGUAGAAUGAGCCGACGAGUUAAUCUCAACAGCGAGGCUAAGACUUUAAGAAGUCGGAGCCGGAGCGAAAGCGAGUGUGAAUAGCGCGAUUUAGUUGUUGGGAUUAGACCCGAAACCGAGUGAUCUAACCAUGGCCAGGCUGAAGCUGCCCUAAGAAGCAGUGGAGGGCCGCACCCACCUACGUUGAAAAGUGGGGGGAUGAGCUGUGGUUAGCGGAGAAAUUCCAAUCGAACUCGGAGAUAGCUGGUUCUCUUCGAAAUAUAUUUAGGUAUAGCCUCAUGUGUUCCCAAGAGUGGUAGAGCUACUGAAUGGGUUUGGGCGGGAAACCGUACCAAAUCCAAUUAAACUCCGAAUACUCUUUGGUCAAUAGCAUGGGAGUCAGUCUGUGGCGGCUAAGCGCCAUGGUCGAGAGGGGAAAAACCCAGACCACCAAUUAAGGUCCCUAAAUUCUAGCUAAGUGUUAAAGGAAGUGGAGAUACAUAAACAACCAGGAGGUUGGCUUAGAAGCAGCCAUCCUUUAAAGAAAGCGUAACAGCUCACUGGUCGACGUAUUUCCGCGCCGAAAAUUUAUCGGGGCUCAAGCUAGAUACCGAAAUUGUGGCUCUCUGACAUUUGUCAGGGGGAGUAGAAGAGCGUUCUGUUCGGCUGUGAAGUCUCAUCGUAAGGUGAGGUGGAGCGGACAGAAGUGAGAAUGUCGGCACGAGUAACGUAACAACGCAGGUGAAAAACCUGCGCGCCGAAAACCUAAGGUUUCCUGGGCUAUGUUAAUCAUCUCAGGGUUAGUCGGUCCUAAGGCGAGGCCGCAAGGCGUAGUCGAUGGACAACAGGUUAAUAUUCCUGUACUACUGUUAAUUCGCCCAAAAUUUAGCAUGUUCUGCUCUAGAAAGGUCGUUUUGGCGCAAGUCAAAAUGGACGUCUGGUUGCAGAUUUGCUUGAUUUAGCUAUGGGGUGACGCGGUUUGGUAGAUUGAGCGAGUAUAGGUUUGCUCGUCUAAGCUUUUAGUGGGAUCUCUUUGGCAAAUCCGGGAGAUCAGUUCGGCGUAAGCUGGACAACCGCGAGGAGUGAUGGAAAGUGUUUCGGCUUGCCGGAAUGCAAUUUGAUUGAUCUAAACUGACUGGAAAACCCUCUCUGCGAGAAUUAACGGUAUCCGUACCACAAACCGACACAGGUAGGUAGGUCGAGUAGACUAAGGCGAUCGAGAUAACCCUCGUUAAGGAACUCGGCAAAAAAGCGUCCGUAACUUCGGGAUAAGGACUGCCAACUAGAUUUUUUUAUUAAGGUUUGGUUGGCCGCAGCGAAAGAUUUUCAUGCGACUGUUUAGCAAAAACAUAGCUCUCUGCCAACUCGUAAGAGGAAGUAUAGGGAGUGAUGCUUGCCCAAUGCCAGAAGGUCAAGUAGAUUGGUUAUUCAGAUUUAUCUGGAGAAGCUGAAACAUUAAGCCCUGGUGAAUGGCGGCCGUAACUAUCGACCAUGGUAGUUGUAAAAUUUGGCUAUAUGCUGGAAUACCUGUUCUGUAAAAGAUGUAGUAUCCUGCGCUAGUUAAUAUCGUAUUACAAUAUAAGUAUGAUCAUAACUGAAAAAGCGUCAGGUGCAGGCAAUCAGCAGGAAAGACUUUCGAUUGAAUCAAUCUCUAUUCCCAUCGGCAAUUUCCUAUCCGGAUUUGCUAUGGGUGAAGGUAGUUUCAUGGUUGUUUGUCGUCGGAGAGACGAUUAUAAACGACAUUGGAAACUGUCUGCCGCUUUCAAUGUUUCUCAACAAGAUGAUGAACCUUUGUAUCUUUUUCAGCAAACACUUAAAUGUGGAAGUUUACGAAAAGCAGGAAAUAAUGGGUGGUAUUAUGAGGUCAAUAAUAUAAUUGAUCUAUCCACUAAAGUUAUCCCUUUUUUCGACCGCUUCCCAUUGGUAGGUACAAAACAUCAAGAAUUCAUUCGUUUUAAAGAAGUAGUCAAUCUUUUGUCGCAAUCUGUGAUAAAUGAUACUGAUUACUUGAAUGUAUUAUCUUUGCGAGAGCAAAUGAAUAGAGGCGGUAAAAGAAAAUAUUCAAAAGAAAGAAUCCUCAGAGACUACACGCCAAACUUAUCAAUAACGAAUUGAUAAGAUGAUAUAGUCCGAUCUCAUGGGCGACCAUGAGUGUUAAUCAGAAAUGAUUAACCUUCUUGCUAUUUUGUAAGAUGUAACAUAAAUGAACGGUCCUAAGGUAGGAAAGCUGCCUUAGUAAAACUUGGCUAUAUGCUGGAAACUCUGUGUAUCUCACAAUACUAAUUUUAUCUGUCGUCCUCGAUUAAAUUAUCAGAAAGACAAUUUAAUAUUCGGGGAUCCAAGAUCAAUGAGUAAAAAUUUGUGAGUGCAGACAAUCAGCAGGAAACCAUGUGUGUUGAGUAGUGGGUAGGAUAAACAAUGUUUGUUUACGGUAUGCUCCUCUUGUGUUAGCCCCUGACUCUUAAUCAGGAAAGCUUGCAAGAAGCGAAACAUAGAAACAUACAUUGCUUACCCGCAAGGCGAUUCUUCCUAGGAGAAUCGCCCCUACUUUUCAACACAUAUUGGGAUCCUCAGAGACUACACGCCAAGCCAAUUUCUUUUGCCGAAGAAAUUGGAAGAUAUAGUCCGAUCUGCAUGGCGACAUGCAGUUCUGCCGUAAGGCAGAAGUUCAUCAAUUAUGAUGGAUAACAUAAAUAAGCGAAAUUCCUUGUCGGGUAAGACACAAGUCGGAUACUUGCCCGAAUGUCGCAGUAAUGCGGCAUUAGUAAACUGUCUAAUAUCGGUGAAAGCUAACUCUGGUUCUCUGCCGAUGAAUCAGAUAUGCUAAUACCGAGGGAACAUUCAUUUAUAUUAUUAAUGAAUGACCCGUAACGACUGAGCCGAAAGGCGAGUUCUGUUUCCUUUAAAAAAGAAGCGGAAAAUACGACAGCUCUUGUUCAUAAAAAUAAACUAUGGAGUUCAAAUCAUACAUUACGGGGUUUACUGAUGGCGAAGGAACCUUUUCGGUUUCUUUCAAUUAUCGAGCAAAAUUCAAAACCAAAGUGGAAGUUCGUCCUAGCUUUUCGAUUUCACAACAUCAAAGAAAUCGAGCAACACUGGAGAAAAUCAGAGAAUAUUUUGGUGUAGGUGGUCUGCGUUUUUCAAAACGCGAUCAAAAUUACAAAUACGAAGUUAGAUCAAUCAAGGAUUUGAUCACUAAAAUUAUUCCCCAUUUUCAAAAGUUUCCCUUAAAAACUUCCAAACAGAAAGAUUUUGAAAUUUUUGCCAAAAUUUGUCAGUUGGUUAAUGCUAAUCAACAUCUUAAUCCUAAAACUCUUGUACAGAUUAUUGAUUGGGCAUACCAAAUGAAUGCCAGUGGUAAGCGCCGUUAUACCAAGCAACAACUUCUACGGUUUAUAACAAGAUGAAGAUAUAGUCUGAUCCGUCGCGAAAGCGAUUUGGCUUAAAGAAGUUCCGACCCGCACGAAUAGCAUAACGAUAUGAAAACUGUCUCAACGAGGGACUCGGUGAAACUUCAUUGCCGGUGAAGAUGCCGGUUAUGCGCAGCAAGACAAAAAGACCCCGUGGAGCUUUACUACAUCCUGAUACUGAAUUAAGUUCUAGUUUGUGUAGGAUAGGUGGGAGACUUAGAAGCCUGGGCGUUAGCCUGGGUGGAGUCAACCUUGAAAUACCACCCUGAUUCUUUCUUAAUUCUAACCUGUGCCGUAAUCCGGUAUGGGGACAGUGUUUGGUGGGUAGUUUAACUGGGGCGGUUGCCUCCCAAAAAGUAACGGAGGCGUUCAAAGGUUCCCUAGCAUCGAAUGGAAACCGAUGUGAUAGCGCAAUAGCAUAUGGGAGCUUAACUGCAAGACUUACAAGUCCAGCAGAUACGAAAGUAGGAUAUAGUGAUCCGACAGUCGCACAUGGGUGCGCUGAAGCUCAACGAAUAAAAGUUACCCCGGGGAUAACAGGCUUAUCAGGUCCAAGAGUCCACAUCGACGACCUGGUUUGGCACCUUAACCAUUAGGUAUCGGGGUGCUACAGAAGUAAUUCUGUACCUAAAAUAAUAAAUUUGGCUUAUAACGGUGAAACCCGACUAUUCACAAGGUGGUAAAAUGAUGAUGUAUUCUUUGCAUCAUCAUCCUGGUCUUACCCAGGAUCGUAUAAAUGAUAAGGUGAAUAAGGGUAAUACCGUGGGAAGUCUAUCACUAGUUCAACAUGCAAUUUUAGUUGGGAGUUUGCUUGGUGAUGGUACACUUCGCAAGCAGGGUACAAGAACAAAUGCUUUGUUAGAAGUUAAUCAUUCAUUUAAGUAUAAAGAAUACGUAGAUUGGAAGUAUGAUAAAUUCCGAGAGUAUGUCUUAACUCCACCUAAAGCCCGACGAGGUAGAGGGUCGCGUGUUGCUUAUCGAUUUACUACUCAAAGUAUCCCUAUUUUUACUAGUUACUAUAAUUGGUUCUAUAAAAAUAAGGGAAAGAGAGUACCAAAAGAUCUCAGACUUAGUCCUAUCUCUUUAGCCGUUUGGUUUAUGGAUGAUGGAACUAAAAUUAGAUCAGCUUUUUAUUUGAACACUCAAGAGUUUACUUUGCAGGAACAAAAAUUUUUGCAAAAGUUGUUACUUGAUGAAUUCGGAGUAGAAAGCACAUUGAAUCGAGACAAAAAGUACUGGAGAAUAUGGAUUAAUACUGAAAGCACUAAAAAGAUGCUCCAGAUUAUAAAACCGUAUAUACUGCCAUGCUUUAGAUAUAAACUAGGAUAUGACCCCGUAACGACUGACCCGAAAGGGGAGGCUCUGCUGAUUUAGCAGGGCAAUACGCCAACGCCUACAAUCUCAACUAAAGGAUAUGGUUAUUUAACCUAAAGUCCAAGUGUAGGAUGAAGAUAUAGUCUGUGCCAUUAGUAAUAAUGGAAUACCAUACGAUGUCGGCUCGUCGCAUCCUGGGGGGGAAGCACCUCCCAAGGGUUUGGCUGUUCGCCAAUUAAAGCGGCACGCGAGCUGGGUUCAGAACGUAAAUUACAUUGCGUUCUACGGUAGAAAUACCGUACAAUAAAUGUGGCUGUAUCGGUGAAACCCGAACUUACUCAACCGAACGAGUGAGAGGGCAAUACCGAGGGAAGAUUAAGAUUAUGUCAGAAAAACUUCUUGCGUAUAUUGCAGGUUUCUUGGAUGGGGACGGUUGUAUUAUGGCUCAAUUGGUCAAACGACCAGGAUAUAUUUAUGGCUUUCAAAUUAGAGUUAGUACUGUGUUUUAUCAGAAAAGUAAUCAUAAAGAUUUUCUGAUUUGGCUUAAAACUAAAUUGAAAGCAGGAUAUAUUAGGGAUCGAAAUGACGGGAUGACAGAAUAUACUAUUGUUAGUCCAGAGUCAGUUCAGCAAGUGCUUAAAAAACUAUUGCCGUAUUUACGAUUAAAACGUGAAUUAGCAAGAAAAGUUUUAACCAUUUGCCAAAUCAACCUAACCAACAAAAAACCUAUUUCCGCCAAAGAGUUCUUAAAAAGAGCUUAUUUGGUAGAUGAAACUGCUUUAUACAAUUACUCGAAGAAACGAACAACAACUAGUGAAACUGUUAAAGUUUUUCUUCGACAAAAUAAUCUUAUUCCCCGUAACGACUGAUUCGAUUUGCUUAGCAAGAGCAAUGAGAUGAGAUGGUUGUAAUUAUUUAAGUAACCAUCACACGCCACCUCCUCCUGCAAUAGUUGUGUUGCAAAGGAUGAAGAUAUAGUCUGUGCCAUUAGUAAUAAUGGAAUAUCAUGCGUGAGACAGUUCGGUCUCUAUCUGCUGUGCAUGUAGGAAAUUUGAGGAAAGUCACUGAUAGUACGAGAGGACCUCAGUGAACGAACCGCUGGUGUGCCAGUUGUUCCACCAGGAGCAGUGCUGGGUAGCUAUGUUCGGACGGGAUAAGCGCUGAAAGCAUCUAAGUGCGAAGCCUCUUCCAAAAAAGAUUUCUAUUCGCAAGAAUUAAGGGCCCAAGUAGACCACUUGGUUGAUAGGCAACAAGUGUAAGUCCAGCAAUGGAUUCAGCUGAGUUGUACUAAUAGCCCGAUCACUUGACUUU
rnacentral:rRNA from 1 species